CAAAUGAGCCCAGGUUUAGUUUAUUCAUUCACUGCCUCUUUGGCUCUGGAAUUUUCUAGAACCCUAGCACGAUUCCCAAAACCCAAAGCUCCUCCUCAUCCUCUUCCAUGGCGAUGGCGUCCGCGCUCCCGCUCCUCCUCGGCCCCCGCCCCAUCAUCUCUCCGAGGCCCACUGCAACGGGCCGCUUCCUCUCCAGCUCCGCUCACCUGUCCACCGCCCCUGCCCCCGUCGAGCCCCUGAAGGGCGGCGGCCGCCUCGCGCGGCUCCAGACGCUCCACGCAGCCUCCUGCUGCAACUCCGCCCCCGCAGCAGCAUCUGGAGGAGUGGAGGCGGCCCGGGCGAAGGGCUUGCAGCUCGUGGCCUGGUACCUUCUGUCUCUUGACAAGCAUCCGGUGGCGACCAAGGCUGUCACUUCUGCUGUGCUGACUCUGGCCGGGGACCUCAUCUGCCAGCUUGUAAUUGAUAAAGUGCCAGAGCUAGACCUGAAGAGAACAUUUGUGUUCACGUUAUUGGGACUUGUCCUGGUGGGGCCAACGUUGCAUUUCUGGUACUUGUAUUUGAGUAAAUUAGUGACGAUCAGCGGGACAUCUGGUGUCAUUUCUCGCCUGUUACUUGACCAGUUCAUCUUCUCUCCUGUUUUCAUUGGUGUCUUCAUGAGCUUACUCGUAACCUUGGAGGGAAAGCCAUCUCUUGUAGUGCCAAAGCUUAAGCAGGAGUGGUUCUCUUCAUUGAUCGCGAAUUGGCAAUUGUGGAUACCGUUCCAGUUUUUGAAUUUCUAUUUUGUCCCACAGAAGCUCCAGGUUCUUGCCGCUAAUUUUGUAGCCCUUGCAUGGAACGUGAUUUUGUCAUACAAAGCUCAUAAGAAGGUUAUCGCGGAGUAAUCAAAUAGGUGAGAGAGUAGACUCUAGGGCGGGGUACCUAGCCGGUUGCAACAUGUGGCGAUGUAAGGCUGAAAGAAUAAACCUACUAUCAAUUAUCUUGGCGUCUCUUCUGUGUUAUCCUACCGAUGAAAAACUUGCUUAGUAUUGUAAAUUAAUGUCCAUCUUGUCUGUCGAGUGCAGCCCGCAAUGCCGGUUAAGCAUGCGUUGUAUAAUCUACAUAACUGUUUGUGAUGGGAGGUUGUUCUUGGUUUCCGCAGAAUUACAUAGUGUAAAAUUCUGGUGUUCCUAGCAAAUCAAAACUCAGGCCCCGGGGGUGUUAUUGGCAUGAUGGUGUCGCAGUUGAUCACCGAUUCGCCGGCGGCCGACACGGGAGAGUUGGAAAAACUGCUGUGGUUGGGUGUUCCGAUGGCGCACAUCGCUUCACGGUGCUUCUUUGCCUCUGCUUCACUGAUCCAUCUAUCCGUCGACUAGACAUGGUCCUGAGUCUGCUUCACUGUCCGUAGGAACUUCGACCAAGGCUCCUGUGGCUGUGAAUAACCGCAGAUGACAGCCUCUCGAGCAGCUAACUUUGACUGAAUAAUUCUGAACCCCAGGUAAAGAAGAU
rnacentral:rRNA from 1 species